UACAGAGGGGGCAAGCGUUGUUCGGAAUUACUGGGCGUAAAGGGCGCGUAGGCGGCCUGUUAAGUCGAACGUGAAAUCCCCGGGCUCAACCUGGGAACUGCGUCCGAUACUGGCAGGCUUGAAUCCGGGAGAGGGAUGUGGAAUUCCAGGUGUAGCGGUGAAAUGCGUAGAUAUCUGGAGGAACACCGGUGGCGAAGGCGGCAUCCUGGACCGAGAUUGACGCUGAGGCGCGAAAGCCAGGGGAGCAAACGGG
rnacentral:rRNA from 1 species